rnacentral:rRNA from 1 species
CGGCAAGAGCUCAAAUUUGAAAUCUGGUGCCUUUGGUGCCCGAGUUGUAAUUUGAAGAAAGCUAUCUUGGAUUUGGCCUUUGUCUAUGUUCCUUGGAACAGGACGUCACAGAGGGUGAGAAUCCCGUGCGAUGAGGUGUCCAUUUCUAUGUAAGAUGUUUUCGAA